rnacentral:rRNA from 1 species
CGCGUAGGCGGCCGUGUGUGUCGGGUGUGAAAUCCAUGGGCUCAACCCAUGAAGUGCGCCCGAAACUGCACGGCUUGAGUGCGGGAGGGGAGAUCGGAAUGCAGGGUGUAGCGGUGAAAUGCGUUGAUAUCCUGCAGAACACCGGUGGCGAAGGCGGAUCUCUGGAACGCAACUGACGCUGAGGCGCGAAAGCAGGGGGAGCAAACA